rnacentral:rRNA from 1 species
GUCCAGACUCCUACGGGAGGCAGCAGUGGGGAAUAUGCACAAUGGCGAAAGCCUGAUGCAGCAACGCCGCUGAGCGAUGAAGGCCUUCGGGUCGUAAAGCUCUGUCCUCAAGGAAGAUAAUGACGGUACUUGAGGAGGAAGCCCCGGCUAACUACGUGCCAGCAGCCGCGGUAAUACGUAGGGGGCUAGCGUUAUCCGGAAUUACUGGGCGUAAAGGGUGCGUAGGUGGUUUUUUAAGUCAGAAGUGAAAGGCUACGGCUCAACCGUAGUAAGCUUUUGAAACUAGAGAACUUGAGUGCAGGAGAGGAGAGUAGAAUUCCUAGUGUAGCGGUGAAAUGCGUAGAUAUUAGGAGGAAUACCAGUAGCGAAGGCGGCUCUCUGGACUGUAACUGACACUGAGGCACGAAAGCGUGGGGAGCAAACAGGANNAGAUACCCUGGUAGUCCACGCCGUAAACGAUGUGUACUAGGUGUCGGGGGUUAAGAGCAUGUGGUUAAUUCGAAGCAACGCGAAGAACCUUACCUAAGCUUGACAUCCCACUGACCUCUCCCUAAUCGGAGUUUCCCUUCGGGGACAGUGGUGACAGGUGGUGCAUGGUUGUCGUCAGCUCGUGUCGUGAGAUGUUGGGUUAAGUCCCGCAACGAGCGCAACCCUUGCCUUUAGUUGCCAGCAUUAAGUUGGGCACUCUAGAGGGACUGCCGAGGAUAACUCGGAGGAAGGUGGGGAUGGACGUCAAAUCAUCAUGCCCCUUAUGCUUAGGGCUACACACGUGCUACAAUGGGUGGUACAGAGGGUUGCCAAGCCGCGAGGUGGAGCUAAUCCCUUAAACGCCAUUCUCAGUUCGGAUUGUAGGCUGAAACUCGCCUACAUGAAGCUGGAGUUACUAGUAAUCGCAGAUCAGAAUGCUGCGGUGAAUGCGUUCCCGGGUCUUGUACACACCGCCCGUCACACCAUGGAAGUUGGGGGCGCCCGAAGCCGGUUAGCUAACCUUUUAGGAAGCGGCCGUCNAAGGUGAAACCAAUGACUGGGGUGAAGNCGUAACAAGGUA